GACGAACGCUGGCGGCGUGCCUAAUACAUGCAAGUAGGACGCAGUUGCGAACGGGUGAGUAACGCGUAGGUAACUACCUAUUAGAGGGGGAUAACUAUUGGAAACGAUAGCUAAUACCGCAUACUAGUAGAUGGACCUGCGUUGUAUUAGGUAGUAGGUAGGGUAAUGGCCUACCUAGGCAACGAUACAUAGCCGACCGUGAAGGGGGAUCGGCCCACACGGGGCCUGGAAACGGCCCAGACUCCUACGGGAGGCAGCAGUAGGGAAUCUUCGGCAAUGGGGGGAACCCUGACCGAGCAACGCCGCGUGAGUGAAGAAGGUUUUCGGAUCGUAAAGCUCUGUUGUUAAGGAAGCGGUACUUAACCAGAAAGGGACGGCUAACUACGUGCCAGCAGCCGCGGUAAUUC
rnacentral:rRNA from 1 species